rnacentral:lncRNA from 1 species
CUGGAAUAAGGCCUUGGAUGAAAAUAUGAUGGUUACCCAUCAUAAUUUCGUUCCCCCUUAAGCCCAUUAGGUUUCCUUAACCUAAAACUCAACUAUCAUACAUUUGACAGUUUAUACCCCUUUAUUCAAUUAAUCUCUUUUGAUCACCAAAUUAAUUCCUAAUUAAUUUAUGACCAAUACUAAUUAAAUAAAUAUGAUUUCUCCUUUAAUAUAUUAUUCUUAUAAUAUAUUAAUAAAUCAUAAUACUCUCUAUUUCUCCUUAAAUUACCUUGGCAAGUUGCUUUGGAGAAGGCAACUGAAAAGGACCAUGCACAACCGGGUCAAGUACAUACCAAAUAUAGUUACGGGCUUAGACACUAUUCCAACAGUCUCCCACUUGGAUAAGUCUAGUAACUAUAUCUCACAUAUGACUUCAGAAUCCGAUUAGCAAUCGUAGCUCUUAUACUUCGCUGUCAACUCUGAUCAACUUGUCCUUUAGAUAAGGGAUCGUAUAAUCCUCUGUUCUGGAUAUCAUGCUGACAAUGCUUAUUGUCCAGCAGUAGUUCCUUGAUUUCCGAUUUGUUUGACAUAGAAUUUAGUUGAACACAUCAACUUCAUUCUGACCGGGCCCGACACAUAAGUGAAACCAAAUAAUCAAGUGGCCAAUAUAUCACUUUUAUUCUCAUAGAAUAAAAGGAACAGAUCAACUUCGACUCAUAUGCAUCUAUUAUUUACCAAUGGAUCACACACAACAAUGAGUUUUAUGACAUCAAGUUACUGAUGCGUUUACACAUUAUCAAUGUACAACCAACCAGCAAACAACAACCAUAUCUCUAAGUUUUAAGACUAUAUGAUGUUAUCGCUUUGCGAUCACUUAAGGUAAAACACCAUGAAGUGAUACAGCAAACUCGGGUUUAAUCCAAUGCUCGACUCAUAUUCAUAAGCACUCAUGAACUUUGCAGCAAACCUUUGCUAUGUCUAAAACCUUUUAGACAAUCUACAAACAAUUCAUGACAGUCUUCAUUCAUAUCUACUUCCAAAAUAUGACCGACUGUGGACCUUUUGAAUAAUCAUAUCAUUCAGGAAGUCAAAACAUGCAAAAUGGAAACAAUAGAUAAAUAACCAACACAAGAUAGUAGCUUUACUCAUAAAUAACACAUUUUAUUUAUUCAUCGAAUGUCAAGUACAAACUAUCUAUUACACAUUUCCUAUCUAAUCCAAACUUAUAUCAUCCUUCAGCCCAAUGCUCCUAGCGUGCUGCAAGUGUUUGACCCUACUCAGUCCCUUCGUAAGGGGAUCUGCUGGGUUUUCUUCUGAUGAUACCCUCUUCACAACGAGGAGUCCCUCUUCUACCCGAUGUCUGAUGAAAUGGUAUUUUCUGUCAAUAUGUCGAGAUCUGCCAUGAUCUCUCGGUUCCUUGGUCAAGGCAACCGCUCCUUCAUUAUCACAGAAAAUUUCCAUCGGCUCUUUUAUGGAUGGCACAACUCCAAGGUCUCCAAUGAAGUUCUUCAACCAUAUAGCCUCCUUUGACGCUUCGCUCGCCGCAAUAUACUCUGAUUCGCACGUUGAAUCAGCUACGGUCUCUUGCUUGGAACUUUUCCAAGUCACUGCUCCUCCAUUUAGGGUAAAGACCCAGCCCGACUGCGAUCGGAAGUUAUCCCGAUCCGUCUGAAAACUAGCAUCACUGUACCCUCGUACCCUUAAGUCAUCACUCCCACCGAGGACUAGAAACCAUUCCUUGGUCCUCCGAAGGUACUUAAGAAUAUUCUUAACUGCAAUCCAAUGAGCUCUACCAGGAUUCCCUUGAUAUCUGCUGACCAUGCUCAAAGCGAAGGCCACAUCAGGGCGAGUACAAGUCAUAGCGUACAUGAUAGAGCCUACUGCGGAAGCGUAAGGUACUCGGCUCAUAUCAGCUAUCUCUGUCUCUGUACUCGGGCUCUGAGUCUUACUCAGCUUGGUAUUGCUUUGGAUUGGCAACUCCCCUUUCUUGGAAUUUUCCAUACUAAAACGCUUUAGUACCUUUUCCAAGUAUGUAUCCUGACUGAGUCCUAUCAGUCUCUUUUCCCUGUUUCUUACUAUUCUUAUUCCCAGAAUAUAAGCAGCCUCUCCGAGGUCCUUCAUAGCGAAACAUUUCCCAAGCCAGGACUUGACUUCCUGCAAGGUUGGGACAUCGUUUCCUAUGAGUAGUAUGUCGUCGACAUACAAUACGAGGAAGCUUACUAUACUCCCACUGGCUUUGACAUACACACAAGAUUCAUCUUCGCUUCGCAGAAAGCCAAACUCUUUAACCUUCUCGUCAAAACAAAGAUUCCAUCUGCGAGAUGCUUGUUUCAAUCCAUAAAUAGAUUUCUCAAGCUUGCAUACUCUAUUCGGAUGCUUCACAUCGACAAAACCCUCUGGCUGAUUCAUGUAGACAUCCUCAGCCAACUUUCCAUUAAGGAAAGCGGUUUUCACGUCCAUCUGCCAUAUUUCAUAAUCAUGAAACGCAGCUAUGGCAAGCAUCACCCUAAUAGACUUUAUCUUCGCAACUGGUGAGAAGGUCUCAUCAUAGUCAACUCCGGGAGUUUGAGUAAAGCCCUUCGCAACCAAUCGCGCUUUAUAAGUAUGCACUUUCCCAUCCAUGUCCGUCUUCUUCUUGAAGAUCCACUUGCACCCGACUGUCUUACGACCCGGUACAUUAUCAACCAAAUUCCAAACUUGGUUGUCGUACAUGGACUGAAUCUCGCUGUCCAUAGCCUCUUUCCAUUUUGCAGACUCCGGGCCUGCCAUGGCUUCCUUAUAGCUGCUAGGUUCAUCCAAAUUUACUAGUGUACUAUCACUAAUAAAUGUAUCCCCUUCAGUAGUAAUAUGAAAACCAUAAAACUGGGGUGGAACGCUAGCCCUAGUGGAACGUCGAAGAGGUAGGGACUCGUCAAUAGGUUCAACAGGAGUUUCCUCCUCAAGUUGAGUGCCAGUGUCCGAGGUUCCUUCAUCGCUUUGAUCUUGAAUUUCUUCAAGUUCAAUUUGCCUCCCACUGUCUUCUUGGCUUAUUAAUUCCCUUUCUCGGAAAACCCCUCUUCUAGCAACGAAGACAACAUUGUCACUCGGUCUAUAGAAAAGGUAGCCAAAAGACUUCUGCGGAUAGCCGAUGAAAUAACACUUCUCACUACGAGGUUCUAGUUUGUCGUGAGUCUCUCGUCUUACGAAAGCCUCACAACCCCAAACCUUGAUAUGUGCCAACGAGGGAGCCUUCCCUGUCCACAUCUCGUGAGGAGUCUUGGAAACCUUCUUAGUGGGAACUAAGUUAAGUAUAUGGGCGGCAGUCUCUAAGGCAUACCCCCAGAAAGCUAUUGGUAACGAAGUCCGACUCAUCAUAGAACGAACCAUGUCCAACAAGGUCCGAUUACGUCUCUCAGCCACACCAUUCAAUUGUGGCGUUCUCGGAGGCGUCAAUUGCGAAACGAUUCCACAUUCUUUUAGAUAGUCGUGAAACUCAAGACUUAGGUACUCUCCUCCUCGGUCUGACCGAAGCAUCUUGAUUUUCCUGCCCAGCUGAUUCUCCACUUCAUUCUUAAACUCUUUGAACUUUUCAAAGGUUUCCGACUUUUGCUUGAUCAAGUAGAUAUAUCCAUAUCUGCUAUAAUCAUCUGUAAAAGUCACGUAGAAGCGGCAAGCAUCCCUUGUGGUGGAUCUAAAGGGCCCACACACAUCGGUGUGUAUGAGAUCCAAUAAACCCUCACCCCUUUCACAAGUGCCAGUAAAGGGUGACUUGGUCAUCUUCCCAAGUAAACAAGACUCACACGUGUCAUCGUCCCUAAGGUCGAAUGACUCCAACACUCCAUCCUUUUGGAGUUGGGCUAUGCGUUUCUUGUUGACAUGGCCAAGGCGACAAUGCCACAAGCAUGCUUUGUCUAGACUAGUAGACGAAUCAAUAUUCAAAACAUUAUUUCCAAAAUUAUCAACAAUCAUCACUGAUUCAUAAAUCCCAUUACAAGGUAAUGCAUUGAAAUAAAAGACACCAUUCAAAUAAACAUUAAUAGAACCAUUACUAUUAUCAAAAGAAUAUCUGAAACCUUGUCUAAACAACCCGUGAAAAGAAAUAAUGUUUCUUGCCAUAUCUGGCGAAUAACAGCAAUUCUCUAAAUCUAUUCCUAACCCAUUACUCAACACUAAAGAAUAAACACCGACUUUGGUCACAGGCGACGAUCUUCUGUUUCCCAUAAUCAGGUUCAUCUUCCCAUGCUCCAUCUCCCUACUUCUUUUUAGGCCCUGCAAAUCAGAACAAAUGUGGUAACCACAUCCUGUAUCAAGAACCCAUGAAGUAGCAAAUGAUGAGUUAUUAGAUUUAAUAGAAUACAUACCUGCAAAUGUGGGCUUGAUCUUCCCAUCUCUUAUGUCCUGCAGAUAUUGAGGGCAGCUUCGCUUCCAGUGGCCCUUUUGGUGGCAAUAGAAGCACUCUGCUUCUUUAGGGUCGGAAGAGGGUUUAACGGAGCCAGCUUUGGUCCCACUUGAGGACGAACCAUCACGGGGUUUCCCCUUAUGGUGGCUCUUACAUGGAGCCUUCCUCUUUUUGCCCUUUCCUUGACCUAUUGCCAUCACAGGAGCGGCCACAGCAGGGGACGGUGCAACGGAUUUGUCUUUGAGGUUGCUCUCAGCAGUCCUCAAGAGUCCUUGGAGCUUGCUCAAGGAGACCUCCUCUUUGUUCAUAUGGUAGGUCAUCCUAAACUGAUUGUAGCAGGAGGGCAAGGAGUGGAGGAUUAUGUCGAUAGCCAAAUCCUCAUCAAACUUAACAUUAAGUUUGAGAAGACGAUCAACAUACCUCUGCAUUUUCUGCAAAUGAGAGGUUAGGGAUUCUCCACUCCCCAUCUUAGCGGUGAUCAUGUUAGUAAUGAUCUCAUAGCGCUCUUGCCUCGCGCUCUGGUGAUACCUGUCCAGCAAAUCCUGAUGCAUUUCAUAUGGAUACAUGUCCUCAUAGGACUUUUGGAGUUCGAGGUUCAUGGUGGCCAGCAUGAUGCAGUGAACUUUCGUGGCAUCACGCUCGUGGGCCUCAAAGGCGGCCAAUUCCUCAGGAGUAGCAACAUCUGGGAUGAUCUUCUCAAGCUUUUCAUCGAGGACAUAUUCUUUGUCCUCGUAGCGUGUGAUCAUGCGAAUAUACCUCAUCCACUCGUUGAAGUUUGAACCAUCAAAUGUCACUUUCUGACACAAGUUCAUCAACGAGAAUGACCCAGAAGCGUUGUUGUUGUUGUUGUUUGCAGACAUCUGAAAAAGAAAGGAACAAAGUUUGAUUAGAAAUGAAUCCCUAAUUAAACACCCAAAUGAGAAAUUAGGGCUAGGAUCCAACAACAUUAUUUACAACUUAGAAAGGGAUGCCGUACUCUAAAAGUAAAUAAUUUGAAGGUAAGUGAAUGACGAUUCACUAAUUCUCACCAUGAAAAACGAAAAAGCAAUUUAGGUUUUAAAUGUAUUGAAAACUCCUAGAUCUUUGAGAUUCAUUGAACUUUUCAAUGGCAUGUUUAAAUCUCGAUAUGCAUUUCAAAUUUGCGACUGGGAUGCCGAGGAUCGCAAACAAAUUUGUGAAUAACCAUGCGAAUUAACGUGGUGCACUCAAUGUCACUAUCACCUAAUCAAUGUGCCGGUAAACCACACACGCUCCAUUGAUCUAUGACAAACAUCGAGUCACCCUUCGCUACCAAUGUCAUCCCCAAAUUGAUGUGCCGGUUAACCACACGCGCUCCAUCAACGUUUGACAAGGGUACGAAGUGUAAUUCCAUGGAUUAGCAUCAUUUUCACAUUUUACCCUAAAGUAACUAGGAAUGGGAAUUUGUAAAACAUGUAGUUACUUUAUGUUCAACAUUAUACUUUUAAUGAGGAGAGAGUUUCCCUAUCCUACCCGUUCGGCUAACGACCCUCCACGAGUCAAGCAAGCGGUAGGUAUGAGUGUACACCUAUUAAGCGCCAUUCUAUAAGCAGCAACCUUAUACCCACCUUAUAGACCGGCUUCGUGAAUGAGGCCUACUAACGGUAAGACUAGCAUUUAAAGUUAUACAUAUAUAUAUUAAUUAAGCUUGUAAUAAUAUAUAAUAGUAUAGGGUUGAAUUUUAAACUUGUAAAAUUCUAAGGGUUUGAAAUUUAAAUUAUUCAAAAUUAAACUUUUAAUUACAAAAUUCAAAUUUCAAAACUUGAGGGCAAGUUUUGAACUUUUCAAAACAUAAGGGAUCAAAUAACAAAUAAUUCAAAUUAACCAAUUAAUUUCAUAAUUAUCUAUAUUUGACCUAAUCUUAAUUUUAGUCAUUAGAUAAUUACCAAAUAAUUUUUAAAUAAUCCAUAUUUAUCACAUAAACAACUGAUAUUUAAAAGAUUUGAAAUUAUCUAUUCACUUGGCAAGGAUAAACACUUAAUUAAGAUAAAAUUUGGAUUUUAACUUCACAGAACAAAUUAAGCAUCAAAUCCAAGUCAAAACAGCAGCCAAAACCCGAAAAUCCCUCUGCCUGACGAACUGACUCGCCGAGUCAGAACUGGACUCGCCGAAUAGGGGCCAACUCGCCGAGUCCAGAUACUGACUAGCCGAGUUGAGUCGGACAGGGGCCAAAAACUCGAUUUUCAGCAAAUAAAGCAGUUAAGCAUCACAUACAACUGAAACCAAUCAAGGCUCUGAUACCACUGAUGGGUUUUAUGCAUAAGAAACAUUCCUAUGUGCUCAUACAAACCCUAAUGCUUGGAUCUAGGUUUCACUAUUGAACAUGCUUUGAUUCCAAGACUUACAAACCCUAAUCUAGCAUAUAAACAACAAAAAUAACAUAUAGAAUCAGAUCUAGAUGUUUACCUCUUCAAUUGUUGGUUUAGAUCUUCUCUUUCUUCUUCUUUUGAGCUUAGAGUCACAAAUGAAACUCCUCUAAUGGUUCACAAACCCCACAAGCAAGAAGGCAAUAUGAGAGAUGGAGAGAGAGGCUAGAAAUCAGCCUAGGGAUCUCUUAGAAUCAUGUGGUAGCCGAAAUCAAUGCCCUAGGGGUCAUAUUUAUACUUACAGGUUACUAGGGUUUCAGUUUAAACCCUAAUGGACAUCUUAGCCACCAAGCAGACCAUGGAACCUUCUGGAAUAAGGCCUUGGACGAAAAUAUGAUGGUUACCCAUCAUAAUUUCAUUCACCCUUAAGCCCAUUAGGUUUCCUUAACCCAAAACUCAACUAUCAUACAUUUGACAGUUUAUACCCGUUUAUUCAAUUAAUCUCUUUUGAUCACCAAAUUAAUUCCUAAUUAAUUUAUGACCAAUAAUAAUAAAAUAAAUAUGAUUUCUCCUUUAAUAUAUUAUUCUUAUAAUAUAUUAAUAAAUCAUAAUACUCUCUAUUUCUCCUUAAAUUACCUUGUCAAGUUGCUUUGGAGAAGGCAACCCAAAAGGACCAUGCACAACCGGGUCAAGUACAUACCAAAUAUAGUUACGGGCUUAGACACUAU